GUGAAUCAUCGAAUCUUUGAACGCAAAUUGCACUCUCUUCGGAGAGUAUGACUGUUUGAGGGUCAGCCUAUAAAAAUCGACAACGUUGUUGUUUUGCGGUGGUGUUCGUCGGAAAUCGGGUUAUCUUAAAUCUUUUUGAUUUAAGCGACUUAAAAUUUUCUUUUGGUUUCAUGUACGUUUCUAUGAUCUAUUUUUUUAUACGUUUAAGGUAUCGAUUUCUACUAGACGUGAUCAUCAUAUCUGAUCGCGUCAAUAAUCUUUCAUUAACUGUCCUAAG
rnacentral:misc_RNA from 1 species